rnacentral:tRNA from 1 species
GGGCGCGUAGCUCAAUCCGGCAGAGCAGUGGCCUUUUAAGCCAUUGGUUGUGAGUUCGAGUCUCACCGCGCUCA